rnacentral:rRNA from 1 species
GACGAAGGAUGCAAGCGUUAUCCGGAUUCAUUGGGUUUAAAGGGUGCGUGGGUGGCCUUAUAAGUCAGUGGUGAAAUCUCUGGGCUUAACCCAGAAAUUGCCAUUGAUACUGUAGGUCUUGAGUAUAGUUGCCGUUGGCGGAAUAUGACAUGUAGUGGUGAAAUACAUAGAGAUGUCAUAGAACACCGAUUGCGAAGGCAGCUAACGAAACUAUAACUGACACUGAGGCUCGAAAGUGCGGGGAUCAAACAGG